GCCAGACUCCUACGGGAGGCAGCAGUGAGGAAUAUUGGUCAAUGGGCGCGAGCCUGAACCAGCCAAGUCGCGUGAGGGAUGACGGCCCUACGGGUUGUAAACCUCUUUUGUCGGGGAGCAAAUUCCGCCACGUGUGGCGGAGUCGAGAGUACCCGAAGAAAAAGCAUCGGCUAACUCCGUGCCAGCAGCCGCGGUAAUACGGAGGAUGCGAGCGUUAUCCGGAUUUAUUGGGUUUAAAGGGUGCGCAGGCGGCCUGUUAAGUCAGCGGUAAAAGCCCGGGGCUCAACCCCGGCGAGCCGUCGGAACUGCCGGGCUAGAGUGGGCGAGAAGUGCGCGGAAUGCGUGGUGUAGCGGUGAAAUGCAUAGAUAUCGCGCAGAACCCCGAUUGCGAAGGCAGCGUACCGGCUCCACACUGACGCUGAGGCACGAAAGCGUGGGUAUCGAACAGGAUUAGAUACCCCAGUAUU
rnacentral:rRNA from 1 species